AUGGAGAAGAAAUCAUUAACUGUCUUAUCCUUCCUUUUCCUCGUUCUCUUUGUUGCACAAGAAAUUGCGGUGACUGAGGCAAAUUGUGAGAAUUUGUCUGCCAAAUACAAGGGACCGUGCUUCACAAAUGGUAGCUGUGACGAUCAUUGCAAAAACAAAGAGAAGGUAGUUGGUGGUAGGUGCAGGGAUGAUUUUCGCUGUUGGUGCACCUAUAGAAACUGUUAA